UUGACCUGAUUGAAUCAAAUUCAAUCAGACUUGAUCCAGACUUUAAUACUUAAUUAAAUUGAGCUAAUUAAUGAUAUAAUCAUUAAUUAAUCUUUCAUUAAUGAUAGAGUCUAAAUCUAGUGGGACUCUUCUCUAGAGUUUUCAUCCAGUGGGACUCUUCACCAGAGUCUCCAUCCACUGGAACUCUUCAGAUUAGCCAUA
rnacentral:lncRNA from 1 species